rnacentral:ncRNA from 1 species
AAAUGGGUGAAAGUCCCAUAUCGGAAAUUGGUUGUUUGACCGAUUAGCUAUAUCUGACAUAUUGUAAAGGUAACUUGCAAUAUGAAAGCUCAGAAGUAAAAGUCCUUGCAAGCGAAGGGCAAACAAGUUUACGGGUCGUACCAUAA